rnacentral:rRNA from 1 species
GACGAACGCUGGCGGCGUGCUUAACACAUGCAAGUCGUACGGUAAGGCCCUUUCGGGGGUACACGAGUGGCGAACGGGUGAGUAACACGUGAGUAACCUGCCCACAACUUUGGGAUAACGCUAGGAAACUGGUGCUAAUACUGGAUAUGUGCCCCUGCUGCAUGGUGGGGGUUGGAAAGCUCCGGCGGUUGUGGAUGGACUCGCGGCCUAUCAGCUUGUUGGUGGGGUAGUGGCCUACCAAGGCGGCGACGGGUAGCCGGCCUGAGAGGGUGACCGGCCACAUUGGGACUGAGAUACGGCCCAGACUCCUACGGGAGGCAGCAGUGGGGAAUAUUGCACAAUGGGCGCAAGCCUGAUGCAGCAACGCCGCGUGCGGGAUGGCGGCCUUCGGGUUGUAAACCGCUUUCAGCAGGGACGAAGCUUUUUGUGACGGUACCUGCAGAAGAAGCACCGGCUAACUACGUG